GUUUCCGUGGUGUAGUGGUUAUCACAUCCGCCUAACACGCGGAAAGCCCCCGGUUCAAUCCCGGGCGGAAACA
rnacentral:tRNA from 1 species